AGAGUUCUGCAGGAUGGUAUGGAGGUCGAUCUCCCAUAUUGUAGCUUUUUACCUGACAGUAAGUUUUCUUUUAAAUUUACUUAUCAUAUGAUUACUGAUUCUUCUCUUCUUAUUGCAAAUAAUAAAUGGAAGUUAGGUUGGAAGUGGCCUGAUGCACAAUGCAUUUGACAUUUUCUUUGGUUGGUCUUACAGAAAAGCCUUCUUACUGGCGAGGAGGUCCACAGGCACAUGACGGAUGACCCGAGUUACAAUG
rnacentral:lncRNA from 1 species